rnacentral:sRNA from 2 species
UGAGUUGGUGGCUAGGGUUCCGGCGCUUUUCUGAAGUGCGGCUGGUCCGAGAGCCACCACCGGUGGGGGAGAAAUCCCGCCGGGUGCACGGCGGGACAAAAGCCCGGGAGAC